CAGUGAUGCUAACACGUCGCUAGCCGCGGUGUUCAGGGUUCACGCUCGUUCACCGACGUGUUGACGGGACGAGCUUCAUCCCGACAUGGAUGAGGGAGGUUAACACAGAGAUCUCCAGAGGGGCACUAUCCUGUCAAGUUGUACACCGGUUGCUCAGAGUGUGGCAGAGGCCCGGGGCAGAGCAAUUACAGGUCCUGCUGAUCAGGGACAGAAGUCCAGCGGGGUUGGUGAUUGAAUGAGAAACAACUGGACUUCUUUUCUAACCAGCAGCUUGAGAAAACAGUUGCAAUCAAUGCGAGAUGUCUUUGUUGAAAAUUGAAUGGUGAGCAAGUCAUGGUACGUAUAUUAAUGACUUAUGAGAAUUGUCAGUGUCCUGUGAGGCGGACACAUCUACUCAUACACUAUCAGGGUUUAGUGCCUCAUGUGAAAGUGGUGAACAAAAUGCUAUUGAUGACAAUUUACAAUAAACAUUAAAAAUA